rnacentral:rRNA from 1 species
AGAGUUUGAUCCUGGCUCAGAUUGAACGCUGGCGGUAUGCUUAACACAUGCAAGUCGAACGGAAACGAUACUAGCUUGCUAGUAGGCGUCGAGUGGCGGACGGGUGAGUAACGCGUAGGAAUCUACCAGAUAGUGGGGGAUAGCCCGGAGAAAUUCGGAUUAAUACCGCAUAAUCUCUACGGAGUAAAGGAGGCCUCUAUUUAUAUGCUUUCGCUAUCUGAUGAGCCUGCGUAAGAUUAGCUAGUUGGUGAGGUAAAAGCUCACCAAGGCAACGAUCUUUAGCUGGUCUGAGAGGAUGAUCAGCCACACUGGGACUGAGACACGGCCCAGACUCCUACGGGAGGCAGCAGUGGGGAAUAUUGGACAAUGGGGGCAACCCUGAUCCAGCAAUACCGCGUGUGUGAAGAAGGCCUGAGGGUUGUAAAGCACUUUCAAUUGUGAAGAAAAGUUAAUAG